rnacentral:tRNA from 1 species
GGGUAUAGCUCAGUGGUAGAGUGUGUGUUUAGCAUGCACAAGGCCCUGGGUUCAAUCCCCAGUACCUCCA